rfam:Salmo salar isolate Sally breed double haploid chromosome ssa16, whole genome shotgun sequence.
UGGCUCAGUUGGUAGAGCAUGGUGUUUGCAUCGCCAGGGUUGUGGGUUCGAUUCCCAC